CUAUGAAAGUCAAGAUUACUGUCAUCCAAACCCCUGUCGCAAUGGUGGAGUAUGUCUGACUAGCUCGUCCCGUGGCUGGAACCCGACAUGGGGAUCCGUUGAAUACUACUGCAGGUGCCCUACUGGAUACACUGGACGGCGAUGUGAGCAUUACCGUGCUCAUGAUAUUCAAGGAUCGUGUGGGCCGUACGACUGCAAGCACGGAGGGCAUUGUGUGUGGAAACAUGGUGUCCAGAUAUGCCAGUGCCCACCAUCAUGGGGAGGACCACAAUGCGAAUCCAGAAAAUAUUAUUGAACCCGCUGACAAUUAAGUCAACGAGAUGCAGUACUCAAUGAAUUGGGACAAUACGAAUAAAGUGUCUAAAUUCGCUCAGGUCUGUUUUUAAAAAGCGAAUAUAUAUAAUUAUUUUAAAUAUGUUUUUUUAGCACUUUAUCUACGAUUAAUUCUGCAUAACCGGCGCAAGGACGAUUAAAGAAAAUUACAAACCUAUUAAGAUUGUCUAGCAUGCAGUAGCACUGUACGUCUACACGAAAUUGGGCAUUGAUGCUUCCCGUUAAAAGACAUUAUCUGAUGAUAAAUAUGACCAAUAAUUAGCAAUUAGAUCUAUACGUGUGUCUUCUAUAUCUGCGUAUAAUAGCUGAAACCUAAGCGUUGGUCCCCAAAUUUAUAGCGCACGAUCGAAAUUCUCAAGUGUUUGUUUACAUCGUCCAGAAUGGCAAAAUAUAUGUAUAACGCGACAAUAACUAAUGAAGAAAUUAUACAAUUGUAAUUUCACAGUUUAAUUUUGUGUAAAAAGAUUUUGUGAUAGUGAAUUUAACUGUGGGUUGUUUAUAAAUACUUAUAGUAGAUGUGGAUAUUAUCAUGUCUGGUGAUUACUAUGCGAUGAAAAUUUUAUUUUAAUAAACUAUCAUCUAUAUCGUUGUACCCGACCUA